AGUGAACGCUGGCGGCAGGCUUAACACAUGCAAGUCGAACGGAAACACAGUAAGAGCUUGCGCUGCCGGGUGGCCGGUGGCGGAAGGGACAGGAAUGUAUCCGGAUCUAGUUUUUCGGGGGGCAUAACGUAGGGAAAGUUACGAUAGUAUCGGAUACGACCUACGGGUGAAAGCAGGGGAACGUUUGGCCUUGCGCGAUUGGAUGAGCCGAUGUGGGAUUAGCUAGUUGGCUGGGUAAAGGCCUACCAAGGCGACGAUCCGUAGCUGGUCUGAGAGGACGGUAGGCGACAUGGGAACUGAGACACGGUCAAGAGUACUACGGGAGGCAGCAGUGGGGAAUGUUGGACAAUGGGCGGAAGUCUGAUCCAGUGAUCCCGCGUGUGUGAAGAAGGCCUUCGGUUUGGAAAGACCUUUUGCUGGGAAAGAAAAGCAGUCGGUUAAUACCCCGCGGUACUGACGGUACCCGAAGAAUAAGCACCGGCUAACUACGUG
rnacentral:rRNA from 1 species